rnacentral:rRNA from 1 species
AGGACGAACGCUGGCGGCGUGCUUAACACAUGCAAGUCGAGCGGUAAGGCCUUUCGGGGUACACGAGCGGCGAACGGGUGAGUAACACGUGGGUGAUCUGCCCUGCACUCUGGGAUAAGCCUGGGAAACUGGGUCUAAUACCGGAUAUGACCUGCUCUCGCAUGGGGGUGGGUGGAAAGAUUUAUCGGUGCAGGAUGGGCCCGCGGCCUAUCAGCUUGUUGGUGGGGUAAUGGCCUACCAAGGCGACGACGGGUAGCCGACCUGAGAGGGUGACCGGCCACACUGGGACUGAGACACGGCCCAGACUCCUACGGGAGGCAGCAGUGGGGAAUAUUGCACAAUGGGCGAAAAGCCUGAUGCAGCGACGCCGCGUGAGGAGUGAA